UUUGUGAACUAUUGUCCAUUAGGUUUUAAGGAGUCAAAUUAUAAUAAAAUGGACAAAAAAGCAUUAGAUAAUAAAGCUAAUCAGAAGAAUUACAAUAAUGAUGCAUAUUGGAAAACUCGUGGGCACUCAGCGAAACCUAAUAAUUGGAGCCAACCAUUCAAGUCAACGAUGUCCAAACAAGAUCAGGAUUAUCGGUCAAAACAACUGAAUCCAAAUAAUAAAGCUUAUUAUGAUUCUCGAAAAAAUUGACAAAACCGUACAUUAAUCAUUCAUUUUGGUACAAAAAUGGAAUCAAAUCGCAAAAAUUACGAGGUCAACGUUUUUCUAUACCUGAAGAAGCGAUUGAUGGUUCAAAUCAUAUGUUAUGGAAGUUCCUCAAUCAAGUAGCAGCCCUCGUAUUUCUUACUUGAUGUAAUAAAUUGAUUGUAGUACUUUAUGCUAUUCAUUUCUUAAUAAAAAACUUAAAACAAG